GAUCAUGGCUCAGAACGAACGCUGGCGGCAGGCUUAACACAUGCAAGUUGAACGGGAUUUGUGUGGUGCUUGCACCAUAUAAUGAGAGUAGCGCACUGGUGAGUAACACGUGGGAACGCGCCUUUUAGUGGGGGAUAACAUCUGGAAACGGAUGCUAAUACCGCAUACGCCCUGAGGGGGAAAGAUUUAUUGCUAAGAGGUCGGCCCGCGGUAGAUUAGGCAGGUUGGUGGGGUAAAGCCUACCAAACCUACG
rnacentral:rRNA from 1 species